rnacentral:rRNA from 1 species
AUUGAACGCUGGCGGAAUGCUUUACACAUGCAAGUCGAGCGGCAGCGCGGGGGCAACCCUGGCGGCGAGCGGCGAACGGGUGAGUAAUACAUCGGAACGUGUCCUUGAGUGGGGGAUAGCCCGGCGAAAGCCGGAUUAAUACCGCAUAAGCUCUGCGGAGGAAAGCGGGGACUGGUAACGGCCUCGCGCUGUUGGAGCGGCCGAUGUCGGAUUAGCUAGUUGGUGGGGUAAAGGCCCACCAAGGCGACGAUCCGUAGCUGGUCUGAGAGGAUGAUCAGCCACACUGGAACUGAGACACGGUCCAGACUCCUACGGGAGGCAGCAGUGGGGAAUUUUGGACAAUGGGGGCAACCCUGAUCCAGCCAUUCCGCGUGAGUGAAGAAGGCC